AUACGGAAGGUGCAAGCGUUAAUCGGAAUCACUGGGCGUAAAGCGCUCGUAGGUGGCUUUGUAAGUCAGGUGUGAAAGCCCAACGGCGUCAACCGUCGGAAUUGCACUUGAUACUGCAUUGCUUGAGUUCGGGAGAGGGUAGUGGAAUUCCAGGUGUAGGAGUGAAAUCCGUAGAGAUCUGGAGGAACACCAGUGGCGAAGGCGACUACCUGGACCGAUACUGACACUGAGGAGCGAAAGCGUGGGGAGC
rnacentral:rRNA from 1 species